rnacentral:rRNA from 1 species
GUACACAAAAAUGCACAUGCUGUGAGCUCGAUGAGUAGGGCGGGACACGUGGUAUCCUGUCUGAAUAUGGGGGGACCAUCCUCCAAGGCUAAAUACUCCUGACUGACCGAUAGUGAACCAGUACCGUGAGGGAAAGGCGAAAAGAACCCCGGCGAGGGGAGUGAAAAAGAACCUGAAACCGUGUACGUACAAGCAGUGGGAGCACGCUUAGGCGUGUGACUGCGUACCUUUUGUAUAAUGGGUCAGCGACUUAUAUUCUGUAGCAAGGUUAACCGAAUAGGGGAGCCGAAGGGAAACCGAGUCUUAACUGGGCGUUAAGUUGCAGGGUAUAGACCCGAAACCCGGUGAUCUAGCCAUGGGCAGGUUGAAGGUUGGGUAACACUAACUGGAGGACCGAACCGACUAAUGUUGAAAAAUUAGCGGAUGACUUGUGGCUGGGGGUGAAAGGCCAAUCAAACCGGGAGAUAGCUGGUUCUCCCCGAAAGCUAUUUAGGUAGCGCCUCGUGAAUUCAUCUCCGGGGGUAGAGCACUGUUUCGGCAAGGGGGUCAUCCCGACUUACCAACCCGAUGCAAACUGCGAAUACCGGAGAAUGUUAUCACGGGAGACACACGGCGGGUGCUAACGUCCGUCGUGAAGAGGGAAACAACCCAGACCGCCAGCUAAGGUCCCAAAGUCAUGGUUAAGUGGGAAACGAUGUGGGAAGGCCCAGACAGCCAGGAUGUUGGCUUAGAAGCAGCCAUCAUUUAAAGAAAGCGUAAUAGCUCACUGGUCGAGUCGGCCUGCGCGGAAGAUGUAACGGGGCUAAACCAUGCACCGAAGCUGCGGCAGCGACGCU